GAGUCGCCGCGGUAAUACGAAGGGUGCAAGCGUUAAUCGGAAUUACUGGGCGUAAAGCGUGCGUAGGCGGUUUGUUAAGUCUGCUGUGAAAUCCCCGGGCUCAACCUGGGAAUGGCAGUGGAUACUGGCAAGCUAGAGUGUGUCAGAGGAUGGUGGAAUUCCCGGUGUAGCGGUGAAAUGCGUAGAGAUCGGGAGGAACAUCAGUGGCGAAGGCGGCCAUCUGGGACAACACUGACGCUGAGGCACGAAAGCGUGGGGAGCAAACAGGAUUAGAUACCCCUGUAGUCCCUGUCUCUUAUAC
rnacentral:rRNA from 1 species